rnacentral:misc_RNA from 1 species
UAGUAAUAAAGGAAGAAUGCAAGCGUUUAACUCUCUACUAUACACAGUUUUCUUGUGUCAACAGUACCUUCCAAAAAACACAAUCAAACAAUUACAGAAAGCUUACCAAAGCCACUACUAAGAAGAGAAUCAUUACGCUAUCGUCCAAAAAAUGAGAAAAAUCCACGUUUCUUUGGCUCCUCCUCCAUCAUUACAGUCUCCAUACUAUCUUGCUCCACCAACCUCCAAGCUGCUUGCUCAAAUGCCAGACCUGCCAAAGCUGGUGGCUUGUUCAACACAAGGGGAUAACCUCUGUUAGUACUUCUAAUAACUUCUGAAUCCUCAGGUAUUACCCCCAACAAUGGAAGCCCUAGCAUUUCCUGCACAUCCAAUACAGACAUCAUAUCUUCCCCUUUUAUCAUAUCAGUCCGAACCCUGUUCACAAUCAUCUUAAUAUCCCUAAUUCCAUCACAUUCUAACAAUCCUGUCACUCUAUCAGCGUCUCUUAAGCUGGUAAUAUCUGGCGUUGUCACUAGUACAGCCUCAUUUGCCGGAGUUAUAGCCGUGAUGAACCCAGCAUCAAUGCCGGCUGGACAAUCAAUGAUGAUGAAAUCCGGACCACCUUCAUCACGAGCUUUUAGGGCAUCCACAAGCCAAACCAAAGCUUUCCCACCAAACCCUAUCGGCAAUUUGGAUCUGGGCUUGGAAAUACACAGCAGCUCGAAAUUGGACCACCGCUUAUCACGUACAAGAGCCUGAUCUAGUCUGCAAUCACCGUUGAGAACCUCGACAACAGUAUAAUUCACCCGGUUUUCUAAGCCCAGGAGGAGGUCAAGGUUGCGGAGACCAACAUCGCAAUCAAUGGCGACGACAGAGAAGCCGAGCCUAGCUAAUGAAAGACCGAUGUUGGCGGUGGUAGUGGUCUUCCCGACGCCGCCUUUGCCGGAUGUAAUGACGACGACUCUCGGCGUAUCUCCGGCGAGUUGAGGCUUGCGGUUGUACUGGAGCAUAGAAUGGAUGGAAGGGUAGAAGUUUCUAGAAGGCCUGAAGGCCGGAAUGGGUUUUAGGGUUUUGGGAGACAAGGAAUUGGGAGGGGUAAAGGUGGAAGAGUAGAGAGAGGAAGGUUUAGGGUUGAGCGGCUGCAGAGAUAACAUUUUUGUGUAGAAGAACGAGAGUUGUAUUUGAGUGAAAGAGAGGAAAUUUCACAAGAACAUGUUUCGAUGUCGCUUAGCAGAAAGGAGAAGAAGACGGCUCUGGAAGUGAAAAAGGUAAGAUAUCUUUCUUGCAGCUAGGAGUUAAAUUGUUUUAAUCCGAAUCGAA